rnacentral:lncRNA from 1 species
UUCUGUCCAGCAUCCUACGGAGCAAUCUCCUCCAACUUUGCAGUUGUCAAAUAAUGUGUUAUCGGAAAAGAAAUCGUCCAAGUUGCCUACAGAGACAUCUUCAUGCUGUCAUGUAGGGCCAAUGACUGUGAUCAUCAGGGUAAAGUCACUGAAUUUCCCCAAACCAAAUUUGACUUCAAAUGAGGCAGCCCCUGUAAUGUCAAAGAUGUGGUCCAAUGCAUUAG